CAUGCUCUUCCAACUGAGCCAGCCAGGCACCCCAAGAUUUCAUCUUUUAUGGCUGGGUAAUAUACCACAUCUUGUUUUUCCAUUCGUCUAUCGAUGGAUACUUAGGUUGCUUCCAUGUCUUGGCUAUUAUAAACAUUGCUAUAAUGAACGUAGGGGUACACAUGUCUUUUCAAAGUGGUUUUUGUUUUCUUUGGAUACACACCUGGAACUGGAAUUGCUGGAUUGUAUGGUAGUUCUAUUUUAAAUUUUUUGAGGAACUUCCGUAGUGUUUUCCACAGUAGCUGCACCAAUUUACAACCUUAACUACUACUUACAGUGCACGAGAUUCCCUUUUCUCCACAUCCUCGCCACACUUGUUACUUCUAACAGGUGUAAGGUGAUUUCUUGUGGUUUUGAUUUGCAUUUCCCUGAUGAUUACUGAAAUUGAUCAUCUUUUCAUUGCCUGUUGGCCAUCUGUGUGUCUUUGGAAAAAUGUCUCUUGUUUUGUCCUGUUUUUUUGUUUUGUUUUUAGAGAGAGAGAGGCAGAGGGAGAGAGAGAAUCUCUAGCAGGCUCCACAUUCAGAGCAGAGCUAAACCGUGGGGCUUGAUCUCAUGACCUGAGUGAAAUCAGGAGUCAGACCUCAACCAACUGAGCCACCAGGCACCCUCCUCUCCCUCCUCUGUCCAUUUUUUUAAUUGGAGUGUUUAUUAUUAGUUUUUAAAUACUGAAUUAUGAGUUCUUUAUAUAGUUCACAUGUUAACCCCGUAUUGUAUAUAUCAUUUGUGACUGUCUUCUCCCACUGCCUUUUCAUUUUGUUGGUCAUAUCCAUUGCUGUGUAAAAGCCUUUCAGUUUGAUGUACUCCCAUUUGUUUGUACAAAAGCUUUUUAGUUUGUUGUAGUCAAAAGUUUUGAGUGCGGUAUUUUGGUCUUUUUUUCUUUUUCAAUUGUGAGGAUACCAUUUCUGUUUUAUUUUGGUUAUCAAUUUGUAGACUAUGGACUGUGUACUCAUUACCCAUUUCUAGGAAGAAAUUUGAAUAUUCAGUUCAGAGAAAGGUAAACAAGAAUUCUUUAAAGCACUCUUGGGAGUUAGAGUUGCUAAUUAUUGUUUACUGUGGGGAGAUGCUCUCAAGGAAUCAUAGGUACAUGAAAUAGAAAUCUUUUACUAUUAUGCCUCCUUUUUAGUCCAUCUUAAAUAUACUGGACACGUGAAGAAAGAUGGCAACAGUGAGGAAGAUACCAAAUCCAUUGCUUGGGAAGCCUGCCAAUAAAAUAGAGCUGGCACAGAGUUUAGAACCCAAGCUCUUCCAGAUAGUGGACACACCUUACUUUCUGUCUUCAGCUCUGUUUCUUAGAGUGGUGAGAGAACAUCUUGUAUUUUAGGAUAGGCCCCAGGGCUACUUGAAUGCAGAUUUAUGGGCCUACCACAGGCUUAAGGAAUUAGAGUCUCAUAGAGUUGGGCCAGGGAAUGUGUUUUUCUUAGUCUUCAUUAUGGAAACUUUUAAGCAUACAGAGAGAAAGAGUAGUGAACACGUGUUACCAUCUACCUGGUUUCAAUAAUUAACAUAGAUAUCUUUGUCAGUGUAUGUUUGUGUAUCUAACAUACUAUGAGGAAGCACCUCUCUGUACUUCACAUACUAAAUAAUUAGAAUAAUUCUACAUAGCUGUAAUACCAUUAUCCCAUCAUUAUCAAUGAUUCCAUAAUUUUACAGAAUCAUGUAAUGACUGCUUAUAUUCACAUUUGCCCAUUUGCCCCCAACAAUUUCUUCUAUAGGUUUUUUCCCCUCCAAACAGGGAUUUAAUUAUAAUUCACUCAUUGCUUUUGUUUCUGUUACCCUAGAACAGUUUUCUUACAUUUUUGCCCCUCGUGACAUUGACUUAUGCAGACUCUAGGCCAGUUCAUACAUGUUCUAUAUUUUGGAUUGCCUAAUUGUUUUUUCCAAGUAUCAUCUGACCUCUCUGUUUUCUGGGUCAACUUUAAGGUGCAUCUAGGGGCUUGAUUUUAUUCAGGGUACAUAUGUUUGCCAAAAUACUGCUUCCUACUUCCUUUUUGCAUCCUGUCAACAGGCACAUGGUAUCUGAUGUGUUGCACUGUUAGUGAUGCUAAGGUUUAUCUCUUGGUUAAGAUUCUGACUGCCAGAUUUUUCUGUAUAGAGGUAUAUAUUUUUUUCCCUUUUGCAACCAGUAAAUAACUCGUGGGAUAAUACUUUGGCAAGAUGUCAGUGUUGUUUCCUAGCAACCUUUUACCCACUGCCAUUAGCAGCCAGUGAGAAUCCUCCCUGUUAUCAAUUAUGACAUUGUUGGUGGGAGGUGGGAUUUGUAUUUUAAACAAGCUCCCCAGUAAUUCUUACCUUUCUUUAAAGUUUGGGAGCCUUUGCUCUAGAGGAAUCAGUACCUGAGAAUUAAAAAAAAGAAAUUCUGUCCUGAAGAAGUGAGUAUGAAUCUAGGCCCUGAUGAGUUCUCAGUGGGUUGUCAGUAGACAAAGUUUAAACUGCAUGUUAGUUUUGGAGGAGCAAAAUUAGUGUUCUCAUGUGUUUCUCAUAUGUAAUAGCAAUAAGUCAAGGUAAAGACUAACAGAGAUAUGUAGUAACUAUUAGUAUGUAUGACUUAAAGGAGAGUGGUAUAGAAGAGGCGUAUAGAAAUUACUAAGGAGGAAAGGCAGCUGUAUUGAAAAUUCUGUUUUUGCAAAUAUUGUCUCAUUUAAAAUUUCGUAAGUUUUUGUGCUCAUUUUAUAGAGGAAGAAAUGGGUUUAGAGAGGUUAAGUAAUCUGAUGUUACUGGUAACUAACUGGUGGAGAAAGGUUUUGAAGGUAGAUCUCAUUGAUGGCAAAAUUUGUGCAGUUUUCUUUAUCAGACUUCUCUUGUAAUGAUCAGAAGGCUCUUCUCACUAAUUACUUUGCUUUACUUUGGGACUUUGCUGUUCUGCUUAUUGAAAAUGGAGAAAUGAUAUUCUUGAACCACUGGGCCCUCUUGAUGUAAAGCUAGGGUCCUUUGAGACCUCUGAUUUCUAGUCUAAUGUAUUAAACUCUGAGGAGUGUGGUAGGCUUAUGACUCUUAGUCAAUUGUAACUGCUGUUGUGAUUCAAGCAGCUGAGUGGUACUGCUGAGUGUAUAUCUUUAGGAAGUUAUUUUCUGUACUUCACCCUAGUCUCUUUCUUGGGAUAGGUGAUCCUUCCAACCCCGUGAUUUCCACAUUACAGAAAGGAGUAUGUAGGGUUGACCACACCCUCUUGGCCACUCUUUAUCCGUGCAGGUCCCACCUAAAGGCUGCACCCGUAUGUUGGUUCUUUGUGACCUGUUGGAAACACUGAAAGCAACAGCUCUUAAGAUUCCUGAGAUUAUAAAGCUAUUAUUUCCAAACUUUGGCUGUGCAUUGGAAUCAUCUGAGGAGUUGGAUAUUUGGGUACUACCAUAACAGAUUAGGAUCCAUUAGAUCUGGAAGGGCCUUGGAAUCUGUAUGUUUUAAAAGCCUAUGUUUUCACAAAGGUCCCCCAGCAGUGCACCGAGGUGAGGACCACAGUUGUAUAGGUUGAUUUCUGCCACUAUUUGCAGUGAUAGUUCUUGAGAAGCAGUUUCUGUUAGGAUCACUUGGAAAGUUUUUAUAAAUCUGAGCACUGGGCAUGCCAGAUUUAGAGCGGUGGACCAUACAGAGGAAGUUGUGAGGAUGAUUUUAAUGGAUCACACCAGUGUUAAAGCAAUCUCUGAUUUGACCUUACCCUUAGUUGGAAUGGGUUGGUGAAAGUGUGUAUUAAUCAAGUAGUAGCAAGAUUUGUCAUCUAUUAUGGCAUAUGGAUUACCAUAAACUAAAGCCUUAGAAUAUUGUAAAGACAUUUAACUUUAAAACUGUAUGGUGUAUAAUUGAAUAUUCCUUUGAUUCAGAAGCUUCUUUGGAAGUUUGAAGUACUUCGGGGUCAUUAUUAACACAAAUUACCACUGUUAGUGUUCUAGAAGUGCCAGGUUAGGUGUUGGGGAGAUUGAUAUUCAAUCCAGAGUGAAUUUCACAUCUCGAAUUUUCAGAAAUGUUGUAUAUGUUGAAGUCAGUACUAAGGUAGGAUUCCUAAAAAGAAACCAGUGAGUGAAAGAGGAGAAGUGACCUAAAAGGUAUUAAAUGGGUGUCAUUACACACAGGGAUGAAGGAAGCAGAGAAGAAAAAUGAUUUCACUACAUUUUGCUUGACAGAUUCAUGAGCAGAGGGUGGAUAACUAGGGAAGGGGAUCGGAAGGGGUCAUGGAGUGUUUUACUCUGUUACUCCAUGUUGGUAGGAUAUCAGUGCAGUAGAUCAACAAGGAAACCUAGAAUCCGUACAUACCAAAAUAGUGUCCCUCGGGGUUCCAUGUGGGAAUGUAGUGUGGCAGUGGUGAGGCAGUUCAGGCUCCUUGUAACUGGGAAGUUUGGGGUCAGAAAUCCUAGUGGAGGCAAUGGCUGGCAGAGAUGGGGCACAGAGUUUAUGGGCGAGCACCAUGUAGACCAGGUUGGAUCCUCUGAUUUUGGAUCGAAAUGAGCAAAAUUCCCACAUCUGUCAUUUUGCUUGGUUAUGAGGAAUGCAGCUCUGGAGGAGUCACCUAAAUAGUAUAAGGAGCCUUGUAUGUUCAGGAUGCUGCCAUUUUGCCUUCUUUAAAGCAGUUUUCAUGAAAGCUGACUCCGAAGGAAAAGAUUAUGCUUUCUAAAAAGGAAAUUAUAUUUUCAAAAUUCAAGCAAUCCCAAAUGGUUUGGUUAGACCUAGUGUGUGAUGGUGUGCCUUUGGACUAGGAGAACAGAGAAGCUACCUAAAGGAUUUAUUACUCUGUUUGCAGACUAAAUGACAGUUGUAAAAGCGAAAAUGAAGUUAAAAGCAAUUAUAUUGUAGAUUUGGAAAUAUGGAGAAUUAGAAUAUGUUUGUAGCAUUUAUGGACUAUAUGGUUUCCAUUGUUUGCUAGGGACUACAUAAUUUUUAGGUAGGUUUUCAGAUGGUAGUUGUCUAGGAUUAAAUGAGAUGGUGUUUGUCAGGCUGCUAAAGGAUUUGUAAUGGGGACCCAUGAGGUUGGAUUGUGUCAUUUUGCCUGUUUGCUUGACAUUUGCAGUUCACGAUCUCAAUUUGUGAUAUGCUCAUACCUAUUCCUGAAAAACCUCUCAUUCUGCAAAAUCACGCACUAAAACUAAGGCCUGUGGGGGGAAAAAAAGGAUUAAGGCUAGACUACUUAAAACUAUGUAACUUUGUAACCAUAGCAUUAACAAAAACAAUGAGAAUCCAGAUAAAAAUACCACUACGGUAGUAUGGGUGACAUUUGCACUCCCUGCCAAGAUGAUUCUAGGUCUUAUUUUAUUCUGGGACAUGUUUUUCUUUGAUAUGUAGGUUCCUGUAGCUAUUAGCUUCUAUUGGAGGCCGGUUUCACCAUAAUUAAAGCUCUGAUGUAAGGUGUAGCCUUCAUGUGUAUCCACAGCAUCACAAGAUAGUGGAGAGCAUAAUGGAUCCUAAAGCCAGUAAAGUGACCACCCCUAUUUGUGCCACAGGAAGGUAAGACUUUGGUAAGAUUCUCAGUUACCACUUUUCUUAAAAUCUUUAUUUUGUUUUUCCGUCUAAGUCUUUCUCAUUAUUUCUGAACAGUCUUGUCCAGGAUAGCUUCAAAACAUUAACAUGUUGGGAAGAAUCACUCAAGAACCAACACUACUUUCCCAUCACACUGUUGUCAUUCCCAUUUUGCCAGGCAGGUGUGAAGGAAUCCAUGGGACAGAAGCAUGCAUUUUGGCAGAACUGACAUAUUUUUGAGUCUCUGACGGUUUCAUAAUGCAGCUCUUGAAAAUACCAAGGUUCUAUUGUUUUGGGAAGUUCUAGUUUGGGAGACACUAGUGUUUCAACGUUAAGUGAAAUUGGUACCCUUCUCAAGUUUUGUGUUUUUUUUUUUUGGCCCUUACAUACAAUAAGUAAGUGAAGAGGGGCUAUUUUAAUCCAUUUUAAAAUGUCUGCUUCUAUCACAUAGUCAUUGGAUGGAAUGUGGGGAUGUCUCAGUGCCGCAUCAUUUGAACCACAUAUGUGGAGCAGGAAUGGUUUUAAAUUUUGGUUCAUUUGAAAUGUGGUUUUAGUGAGCUUUUAAAUUAAAAUUCAUCUGAGCAUACAGUGAACAGAAAAAGGAGCAACAGUAGCCAGUUGUCAAGGAAAAGACUGAUGGGUAGAAUAAACAGACGGCUUUCAGCAAUAUAAACAAUCUGUUUUCAGAGAGUGUUUUUUGUUUUUUUUUUUUUAAAGGAUGAUUGGGAGAAUUUCCAAAAUAAGUAGAAGUUAGUUAAACGUGAAAGGCAGCAGAUAUACAACAUUUAUGUUAGUGACUGUUACAGUUUGUUUCCUCAGUAAGUAUAAUAGCAAAAAUUUUGGUGACUUAACACAAUAGAAAUGUCUUGUCUCCUGUGGGUGGUCCUGGCUGAUAGUGGCUUUUACAUCCUUUAGGGACUCAACACCCUCAGCAUUCAGCCAGUGAGAGGAAAGGGAAAAUAGAGAAAGUAUAAUUGCUUCCUAAAAGCCCUACCUAAAAGUGAACACAUCACUUGUGCUGAAAAUCCAUUGUGAAGAACUAGCCCUGUGACUGUAACCACAUCAGCUCUAAGCGAAAGACAUGAGGCCUAAGACUGAAAUGAGGUUGUUUUGAGGCCAUCUGAUUUCUGACUAGAAGGUGUGCGAUCGCCUCGUCCUGAAACCACUUCAAACAGAAUGGUAAUGGCAAAACCUAAGAGAAAGAGAGGCCUUCAUGUUUUUCCAUGUCUGUUCUCUUAUCCCAAUUCCUUCCUCUUUAAAACAAAUUUUUUAAGUUACGAACAAAAAGUAUUAAACAAUAUACUAAUAUACCCUAACUUAACUGGGUCUCGGGUGAAGAGUUGUGUAAAUCUACAUGGUAAGCCUUGUAUAGUUGUUUGAACUUUUUAGUGAGCUACUUAAUUAGUGACAAAAUCUGUAUUCUGUGAAAACGCCUGAGCCAUUAAGGAAUUUGCAGAUUGAAAUAAUUUUCUUCCUUUGAAAAAUGAUAGGGUUUGCUCUAAGAAGGGACUCCAGACUUGUGAGGCGUUUCAGACUAGGGAGUUAGGGUUCUUGUCACAACUUUCUUUUGCUGUCAUAAAGAAUUUUAAUGUCUUAUAUAUGUGUUUUUGUUUUUCUAUUUAAGAUGUAAAGUCCUAUUAAGAAUGUUAGUAGUAUCAGUUAGCUCUACUUUAAUUAUUGCCGGUAUCUUAGUUCAAAAUGUAUUUUAUAGUUGAGAAUAGCACUGUUUGUUUUUAUUACAGUAAAACUUUUUUGAGAGAGUGCUACUAUUUAUUAAGUUUAUUCCAGUGGUCCAGGUCCUGUUAAAAUAAUGUUGAUGUGGCAAUUACUAGGCUGAAUCCCGCUGGGAAUAGAAUUCCAAUAGGGUCUUUGCUCAAGUUCAGAUUUUAUGCAAAGCCAUCUUUUCAGAAUAAAUGGUUACUUGUUAUUUCUUGUACUACAUGUAAUAGUGUUAAUAGCAAAAAUAGUAUCACAAGUUUACUUAUAUUUAGCCUGAAUUAUAUGUUUGUUUAAUUGAUGGCAUGCCAAGAAAAUGAAAUUGUCAUCCCCUUCCAGAGGGUAAUGGGGUGGGGGGGGGGCAAAUUCUAUGGAACUGUGACAGCAUUAAUAUAUUUUUUAAAGUCAUGCUUCUUUCCAUGUUUUCUUCUAGGGUCUCGGUUGUUGGUAUAGUGCUACAUUACCUCAUUUCUCUACAAACAGUAUUUUCUUAUAAAGAGUAUUACAAAUAAUAUCUUAUAAACAGUAUUUUCGCAGAUGUUGAGAGUGACUUAAAGUUUUAAAAUGUAUUUUUAUUUGUAUAUGUGGCUUUCUGUGAUGACAGACUUAAUCACAUGCCAUGCAAAUCCAGGCACCAGUUAGGCUCACAGCAGUGUAGUUAUCUUCUAUCUGUGAUCUUGGUUUAGCCUUCAGUCAGUCAGUCUAGCUUUGUUCCGAAGAGAAGCAGUUUCCCUUUGUUUUCUAGAUCUCCCUAUGUGUUGUUUUCAUUCUUCUGGAAAUGUGAACUCUGACCUCUUGCUUUUCUAUGGAAAAAUUAAACAGGCCAAUCUAAAAACAUAGUUUUUAAGCCUGUAUUAGCAGAAUUGUUCAUAUAGUUCACUUUUGUGUGUUAAUGCUUUAAUAAGAAACAAAUAGAUUGUUUUUAUUUUUUUGAAAUUCUUGUUUCUUAUGUUUACCCCAACACUUUUUUUCUUCCCUCAAAUAAAGCCUAUCUAGUUGACCCUGUUUGAAGUUAGAAGAACUUUGAAGGUCAUCUUUUAUAUUUCUAUUUCAUGUGCUAAAAAUGAAUGUGAUAGAAGUACAAAGACUUUAACCACUAUUAAUUGGCUAAAAAUGUGGUUUCUAAAGGCAUGUGUUAUAUAAGAAUGAAAUCAGUAAUCUCAUUUAUACAUCUGAAUAUCUGUCACCAUAAUAAUAGCUUAUUAACAGAAAAUAUAGAACUGAUGCCACUUUAAUUUAAAGCCUGAAAUUGUAAAUGUGAAGAUAUUUGGACCCAAUAAAUAUUAAAUAGGUGAUAUAUAUGAGUAUAGUUUAAUAUUUUUUAAUAAGUAAACUGCCUUGUUUCUAAGCAAAACUUUAAUGUUAGACUUAAGAGCUUAUAACUGUAAGAUGAGAGAGAAACAUUAACUUUAAAAUGUCAUUUUGAAAAUUAUAAAAGUAAAUAUUGACCUUAGAAAGUUUUUUCCUUUUGACAUUGUUUAAUUUUUUUUCCUUUUUGUUUUUUAGGUUUGCAAUUUUUUUUGGUGAUGGCAUGUUCAGAAUCUUGGAUCCCUAAGUUGAAUAUGUUGGAAAUAUUUAGGAACUCUGGAAAUUAUUGUUUUGUGUAUAUAAUGGCUUACUAGGUGAAUCAGUAGAUUUAAUAAAAAGUAUAUAAAAGACUAGGUAUUAUAAUUUUGUGUUUCUAAGUUGACAUGCAUAUCUCAAAUUGUCAUCUAUCAGUAUUAGUGUCAUUCUCUGGAGAUAGUCCUAUUUUGAAGAUUUGGGGGUUUUUAUGGACCCCGUAUUUUCCCAGGCAGUUUAUGUAUUCCCCCACUCCUCAGGCCAGUCUGUUCAGCCCCUUUACCUUUCUACUUCUGUGCAGUGUAGCUUACUUAGAUCAGUGGUAAUUAUUGAACAGGAAGAGAUCAAGUGACAGUCCUAGAGAUAGUAAUUAUAAAAUUUCAGCCUGGAAAUGACCUCAGAACGGUCUGUAUUCGAAUAUACAGAUUAUAUCCAAAUACGCUUGUGACAAAAUGCUGCCGAUUUUCUCCUUGGAUAUUAUUGUCUAGGAACAGAAGUGCUAAUAGGGAGGAAAAAGAACUGUUCAGUUUUACCUCUUCCCUCUCUCCCUAUUGUUGGGCGAAUGGGUUAGGGGGAAGUAAGAGGGCCAAGAGAUAGACCAUGUAAAUGAAAAGGAGGAAAAACAAAUUUUAAUCUCCAAGAAAGAAUAUUUCCCCUUAAAAAUUCGAAAGUUAGCUCCAUUCUGUGUACCUGACCAUACUGUUUUAAAACUGUGGGCUCACUUUCACAUAGGCCCAGACUGUGAGCUAGGGUAUGCUUAUGCUUAACCAUAGGAAUGGCUGGAGAACUUGUUAUUUGAUAGGAGAGUCAGACAGUCCUUGGGUGACAGCCAGUGGUUGACUUGUUCCCUGACCUGUUCCUGCUGGGAUUAACAGAUUUGAGGAAUUUUCUGGGGCAGUUAUUUUGAUGGUCAAAUGAUACAACAGCCUCUCUACCCCUUUGACCAAAACUGAGGAAAAAAUUGAUUUUUAAGACUGUAUUUAGAACAGCCUGAAAAAGGAUCAUAGGAAAAGGCUGAGGUAGUCCAGUAGAAUGUUAAUGUAUUUGACUAUUACAAGGUUUAUUAUUGGUAGAUUAUCCAAUAAUACGGAAGUUGGUGUAUAACCCAAGUUUUCAUAACGUUUCUAUUAGAAGACUUCCAGAACUAAAUAAAAUACACCCUCCACCCCUUUGCUUUACUUUGCUUUGCUUUAAGAGGAUUUGACUGAUAGGUAUAUUUAAUAGGUGGCACAAUGAAGACAUUCGAUUUUUAAAAAUCAGGUUACAUUUUAAUUUAAAUGUGUGUUGCCUCUUUGCUGCUUUCCCAUUACAACUGGCUUUUUAAAAACUCUCCUUCUGUGAUACUUUUGUCAAUAGAGGUGUUUCCUCUUAGCCAAUUCUAGCCACAGUAUUGACUGGGCCUCGGCAUUUGAUAUACCCAGAAGGAAUUAGACAGACAGGAAAAAAGUUGGUCUAUACUGAAAUGAAUAUUUUAAAAACCUUCUUAGAUUCUGAACACUUUGAGUACAAAUGAAAGAGACCCAAGAGGGGGGAAAAUUUAAGAGCCCAAGAAUAAAAAAAUGGUGGGGGUGGGGGUGGGGGAUAACCCCUUACAUAGCUAACUAAGGUAUAAUAAGGGAAGGAAAUUAAUUUCCUGGAGAUUAUGAGAUAGAAUAUGAAAUCCCUUGGAUAGUAGGCAUUCUUAGACUCAUUAGGGUAGUUCACACUAGCACACUGCAGUAUUGUAAGGACAGUGGUAUGUGAUCUGGGGAAAUAUUAAUGGAUUUCCUAACACAGAGUUUGAUAUUUAUUGUAGUGUGUUAUAAAUGGGUAUGCAGCUCAAAAAUGAAUAUAAUUCAAAAUAAGUAUCGUAGAUACUAGAGAAAAUAUUAUAAAAUCUGGAUCUUUUGUCUCUAUUUUGCAACGUUAGAGAGUAAUGUAGAAUACAGAGCAUAGUAGAGAAUUGAUGGCAUGACUAUAAUCAGUAUUUGAUGGUUGCUUACUAGAAACUUCUAAAUAAAACCUGACAUUUGUCUAAUGUUGUCCUUAGUUGUACUGUAACAAUUUUAGUGAGAAAAUGUGUACCUUCUUGGGUCACUCUACUCCAUAGUCUGGCACAUCACUGUGGAAAUGUAGAAAUCUAAGCUCGUUUACCCAGAGAGGAACGGAUCUUUGUAAAUUUGGAUACAGUAAGUGCGUAGGGACACACACAGAAUGUGAGCCUAGAACAGUGGUUCUUGGUAUUUCGGCACUUUUCGACACCCUUUUGAAAACCUGAAGGUAACUAUGGAUCCUUUCCCCAACAAGACUGCAAUUUCUGAGGGUAGAGGGACUGCCCUUGGCUGUCAGGUCAGGAAGCCCUGAUCUACAAGAUCAUCUUCAUUUUACUUCUGACCUUGCUCUUGACUUUAUUGUCAACUGUCUGUCAGGGGUUCUCGAAUGGAGCUUCAAAUCUUGAAGGACGCUUACUGCCUUACUCAUUGAACUGAAGCCCCAUGUCCAGAGCUCUGUAACGUAAUGGAGCAGACGUCGUUCACAAAACGCUGCCCCACAAGUACAGUGGUAAAAAGAGAGCCUGAGGCAUUUGUGUGUGGCACAGCCUCCUGGGUAGUACCUCCUUCCUACUGGCACAGGGGGGUUUAUUCCAUAGUAAGUUGAAUCUUGAUGUUCUGUUUUUAAAAUGAGCAUAUUUCUUCUAAAACCUCGAAUUAUUAUAAAGGUUUCUAACUGUGACUUUUUCCUCGUGUCAUAGGAUGUCACAUUAAUGGUGUAAAAUGUGCACUUCACAUUAACAUAGUAACUGGGAACCUGGGAUUGUUAUUUUGUGACUCAAAUCUAUAACACGUUUUCAGGGGAAUUGUUGAAAUGACCGGAUAAUUCAUUCUUUAUUCCUUUCAAGUUCCUGAAUGUAUGAUUGUUUCUGAAUCUUAUUAAGCCAUUUAUAAGAUGAGACAAAACUGUCUUCAGUUCAUAUUUUGACACAGAAUGCAUACAUUGAAUUGAUCUUAUUAGAAAUGUGUUUUUGACAAAAAAUUCUAUUUGAGUGGCUCUAAUCUUCAUUUUGGAAUCUCAGAUCCCCUGCUCGUUAUGUCGUUCACUGGGACUUUGCUGCAAAAUACAGCUUCGCUGAGAAGGUCAUCCUUGAAAAAUCAAGAAAUCUGAAGAAACUUACUUUGGGACUUGAGUAAAGAGACGGAAGAGCAUCGUCAGAUUGACAGCGCAGCACACUCUGGAAACAUCUUCGACUGCACUGCUCUUGUACAUGAAACAAUUUGACUGUUUUAUGAACUGGACCUAUAGAGAGAGAAAACAACCUCAUAAAAUGUAUCUUUAAUAUAAGAAAACAGGACUCUGGCCUUUGAAACAUUUCUGUCAGGACAGUUUGUUCUGACUACUCACUGAGGGAGGGAGGAGCUUGGGUCAUUGAACUCGACUGAAAGUUAGUUGCCAUGUAUUCUGGAUUUGAAGGUGUUUUUUUAAUUUCCUGUCAGAAUAUAGUGUUUUGGGCUUUUGCACCAUCUGCCUUCCAUGUGCCUUUCCUGUCCCCUGAGAGAGGAGCUGGAGUUCACCUGUGCCCUGAUACUUGUUCUCUGUCCUUUCUUUUCUAUACUGUUGACUUAAAUGUGGGGAAAUGUGGAACAGGUAGAGGAUUCCAGGAUCCUGUUAAAUCUAUCCCACUAUCCCUCCCAGGUAGUUGUAUUGCAUUUCCUUUUCAGCUCCUCUCAGUGUUGCCCAAUUUUAGCCCCUCGGUUAGGUCGAGGCGGCAUUAAAAUCACACCUUUUGAGGCUCCCUUCCCAUCGUCCUUUUUGUUCUGCCUGCAGUGGGCGGUUUUCAGUUGUCCUACUGGGCCACAUGUGCUCUCUCAUUUCCCUCCCCCUUCCUGCGUGUUCUGCUGGAGAGAGAAAACAGAUCUAGACUUGGGGAUUUGAGUUGCGUGAGGUUUGCCCCCACAGAUGCACAGCACGGUGUUUAAAAUACAGCCUCUUAGCUGUGCUGUCCACAGUAGUCUCCUUCAUACCUCUGCUCUGUGCUGGGCACUGUCCCCUCGUCCUCUCCACCGCUCGAUUCUCCUGAGGCCGGGAAUGGACCGCAUGGUGCCAUCCACACAGGGGGAACCGUAGUUGACCUCUGUGUAAGCUUGCUAGUUCUGAGGUCAUGAGUUAACGAGGGAGCUGAAGAGUUCCCCGGGUCCUCCACCGGACUCUGGUAAAAGCAGAUCAUGUGCAGAGAAAGUCCUCAUGCCGGAAUGAUUUUGAAAACAAGAUUUGUCCAAAGAAAUAGGCCAAAUUCCAGGUUAACCGUGAACCCACAUUGACUCUCCUGGUGUGCCUUACUUUCCACAAAAUAAAAACCUUACCAAAUGAACCCUGACGUAAGUCAAAUGUGGUAUUACUCAAAAAGAGUUUUUACAAGUAGUUUUCAGAAGCAUGUGCAAAUAAAUGUUUUGUAUGAAAGAGUAUAUACUAUGUACAAUAAUUUUCUGAUUCUUGCUCUAAUAAAUAUUAAACUUAAGUGGUCUCCGCAUUUGAGCCCUAAUAGUUUGAAAUUAUUUUUUUGAAAUUACUUUCUUGAGUAACAUUUUAAGGUACACAAUCUUUUUACUUUUCAUGUAACGUGCAAGUGUUCUUAGAAGCUGUUGACACGUGUUUGUUUUCCACAUGUGAACCUACUGUGUCUUCAGUAAGAGUUUCUGGACCUUUGGCUGUAAUUACCAAGCGCUGGGGGUUGGGCUGGCUGGAAAUGCGUGUUGAGCUUUUCUGUGUAUGCAGCAAACUGUGUGCAAAUAAAGUAGCUUUGUACCCUGAA